CCUACGGGUGGCAGCAGUGAGGAAUAUUGGUCAAUGGGCGAGAGCCUGAACCAGCCAAGUCGCGUGAAGGAUGACGGCCCUACGGGUUGUAAACUUCUUUUGUCAGGGAGCAAUUGGGUCCACGCGUGGGCUUAGCGAGAGUACCUGACGAAAAAGCAUCGGCUAACUCCGUUCCAGCAGCCGCGGUAAUACGGAGGAUGCGAGCGUUAUCCGGAUUUCUUGGGUUUAAAGGGUGCGUAGGCGGAAUAUCAAGUCAGUGGUAAAAAUUCGGGGCUCAACCCCGUCGUGCCGUUGAAACUGAUGUUCUUGAGUGGUCGAGAGGUAUGCAUAAUACUUGGUGUAGCGGUGAAAUGCCUAGAGCUC
rnacentral:rRNA from 1 species